AUGGCAAUGCAAGACCAUCCUUCUCCGUGUGGCCACCACCCGGGCGAGUUGAAAAAUUCCACUACCGCAAAAUCCAAGAAUAGCAAAGGGGUUCACUUGGAGGUUUCUUUUGAAGCAGUUGACCCUCCAGCCAUCUCACUGUGCCUGGUCAGCUGCGUUGAUCAGACCGGGGAUCGCUUGACAGCACCGCCUCGUAUACUUGGUGUAACUGGAGGCUUUGUACUGCUGGCUAUCACCUUCUCGGACAGUGUCAACCGUUACUUGCGGUUCAUCGAUUAUUUUGUUUACAAAGCAGGGCCCGGUUUCGCCUCUCUUCAUCUUCUUGCAAGGCCAUACCCGUCUUCUUUUUCGCCAAACAUGGCUGCCAUCUUGCCUGUUAGUGAUAACAGUGAAGACUUUGCUGUCAUUUUCCCACAUGUUGAAUAUUUCAGACUUGAGUCUCGCAAACAUUACACACAUUACACACUCCACAUAUAUCGAUCUGACACGAAUGAUUGGCACUCUCAGGUCGCUUGUAUCGCUGAGGAUAAUGAGACAAGGAAUGCCAGGGAUAAGCUAUUGCUUCAUAAUACCAUGAGCGUGGCAUAUGCAGAAAAGGGUAUCAUAGGUUGGAUUGAUCUCUGGUGGGGAAUUCUCUUAUGCAAUGUUUUGGAUAAAAAGCCUACCAUCCGUUUUGUUCCGUUGCCAGUUCCGGAACCGUGUGAUACGUCUGAGUUCCAUUUGAUGUUUGAGAAUCUCACUCCAAGACCACACCGUCAUGUGACGAUAUUCAAUGAUUUGAUCAAGUGUGUUGAGUUAGAUUUUCAUUUGCAAGAUGCUUUCUUCAACAUGAAGCGAGCAAAGGAUUAUGGCUGGAUGGCUAAAACAUGGACUAGAUCAAUUUAUUCAGAUGUUUGGUGUGAUGGCUUGACGAUUGAUACGUCUGAGAUAUCUUUCACCGACUCAAGUUUGCCGAAUUUGUUGCCUGGGAUGUUUGAUGAGGAAAACAAUUUGACUUGGAAGAAAUUGACUAGUGCUGGUCCUACAUUAAGCUUGCUUGAUGACAAUGUUAUUUACAUUAUGGCGAACGAGAACAUGUGCCAUCCGACAGCAUAUGUACUUACUGUGGACACCAAAAGUUUGAAGCUCGAGUCUGGUGCGCAGUGUGCUCCUGAAAAGACGGCGUGGUUCUAA
rnacentral:rRNA from 1 species